CUCUCCUGCCAUCAGGAACUCCUGAAGGUCUCGUGCUCAGAGCAGCUGUAGGCACUCAGAUCAGGGGAUUACAAGAAAUUCAGGAUCUGGGGUCUCACUGCUCCCAACACGCCUCCUCACAGAGAAAGGUGGUCUCUUAGGGAAAACCCUGCUUGACAUCAGUCAGGACAGCUAUUUGGCUCAGCACUGACUUUUCUACAGCAACAUUUCACUUCUCUGCCCUGAAUUUAAAUCUAAUUGUAUCUGCUCAACGGGGACUUCAUAGACAUCUCCCCUUGUGUGGUCCCUUUGUGCCUGAGAAGUUCUUCUAUGACUCAGGGUAUACAUAGCCAUAAAAUAGGCACAUAAAUCAGACAUUUGCCACAAGUAAGUCACAAAGAAAUUUAUUUUAGAGUAAUUAUUUGGGGGUCCUGGAGACAGAACUUUUGGUAAAGUGUCUGCUUUACAAGUCGGAGGACCUGUAUUUGAUCCCAAGAAGCCAUGUAAAGAAGCCUGGACGUGGUGGCACGUGUUUGUAAUCAUAGCCCUGGGGAGGAAGAGACAGAUGCUGGGGGCUCACUAGCCAGCCUGCCUCAUGGAUUUGAUGAGUCCCAGCAGGUCAGCGAGAGACCUUAUCUCAAAAAAAUAAAUGUGGAAAGCACCCGUGGAACCUCAGGGUAUCCAUGACCAAGACCCAGAAUAUCUGGUGCCAAUACCCGAGGCUUCAGAGUGCUCAGUGUUGACGAUGAUGAGACUCUAUGAAGUCACCAGAAGAAAAUGGUUCCAUGGUGCUGGGAUUCCCAGGCACUUCUUCAGCCUCUGACCAGCUUUGCACUCUGUGCUGCCAUGAUAGGAGUGAUCUUGAUCAGCGGCAGGUUUCCACCAUGGUUCUCUCUCUGGCCACAGGCCCAAGGAGAUGAGGAUCAGAAUUGUGAGCUGAAACUUCUGAGACUCUGUGACAAAAUCAACCUUUUUCUUUAAGAUAGCACCGCGAUGGACAGCUGACUGACGGAUGCAAGGAUAGUCAUGCAGUACAGAAAAAAAGACACCAUCACCAGCCAGCUGGAGAGAGGUUUCCCUGCUGCCUUAGAAGUAGGCUGCCAUGUGGUCAAGUGACUGGGACCCCAGGAGGACAUCUGGGAGCUGAGACAGAACCCAGCUGACAAUAGCAGGAAGCCUGGCAGUUUAAGCUUUAAGGAACAACUACAAGGAACUGCAUUCUGCAGCCACGAUGUGAGUUUGGAAAAGAACUCCAAGCCUGACAUGAGUCUGCAACUCUUACCAGGACCUUGAUUUCAGAGUAGAGGGCUUAGCCAAAGUGUGCCUGGGCUCCUGACCUGUGCACGUGGCAUAUGCUAAAUACGUGCGUGUUGCUUAGUCACCAUGUCUGUGGCAAUCUGUUACACAGCAAUAAAAGCUAAUAGAGGGUAAUUGGAUGCGUCACUUAGCUUUUCUGACAUCCCAGUUUUCUUUCUUUUUUUUUUUAAAAAAUUCUGAAAUAAAUAUUCCAACUCAAUUUAGUGAGAUAACCUAUCUAAAGGAGUAUUAUAAAUUGUCAACUCAUUAACACCAGUGAAAACGGUUUAUUAACAAUAUGCAGUUAUACAAUAAAUUAACAUUGAGAAGAAAAACAAGGAUCUAAGCUUUUGUCUUUUUUUUAAAAAGCAUAUCUAAUUAGUGUCUAUUUUUAGACAUCAUACUGGUCUUCUC